rnacentral:rRNA from 1 species
UACGAAGGGGGGCUAGCGUUGCUCGGAAUCACUGGGCGUAAAGGGUGCGUAGGCGGGUCUUUAAGUCAGGGGUGAAAUCCUGGAGCUCAACUCCAGAACUGCCUUUGAUACUGAGGAUCUUGAGUACGGGAGAGGUGAGUGGAACUGCGAGUGUAGAGGUGAAAUUCGUAGAUAUUCGCAAGAACACCAGUGGCGAAGGCGGCUCACUGGCCCGUUACUGACGCUGAGGCACGAAAGCGUGGGGAGCAAACAGGG